rnacentral:rRNA from 1 species
CCUCCUUUAGAGUUUGGAUCCUGGCUCAGAUUGAACGCUGGCGGCAGGCCUAACACAUGCAAGUCGAACGGUAACAGGAUGUGCUUGCACAUCGCUGACGAGUGGCGGACGGGUGAGUAAUGCUUGGGAACUUGCCUUUGCGAGGGGGAUAACAGUUGGAAACGACUGCUAAUACCGCAUAAUGUCUUCGGACCAAACGGGGCUUCGGCUCCGGCGCAAAGAGAGGCCCAAGUGAGAUUAGCUAGUUGGUAAGGUAAAGGCUUACCAAGGCGACGAUCUCUAGCUGUUCUGAGAGGAAGAUCAGCCACACUGGGACUGAGACACGGCCCAGACUCCUACGGGAGGCAGCAGUGGGGAAUAUUGCACAAUGGGGGAAACCCUGAUGCAGCCAUGCCGCGUGUGUGAAGAAGGCCUUCGGGUUGUAAAGCACUUUCAGUUGUGAGGAAAAGUUAGUAGUUAAUACCUGCUAGCCGUGACGUAAC